rnacentral:rRNA from 1 species
AACGUAGGACGCAAGCGUUAUCCGGAGUUACUGGGCGUAAAGCGCGGGCAGGCGGUUCCUUAAGUCUGAUGUGAAAUCUCCCGGCUCAACCGGGAGCAGCCAUUGGAAACUAGGGAACUGGAGGGCGAGAGAGGUAGGCGGAAUUCCGGGUGGAGUGGUGAAAUGCGUAGAGAUCCGGAGGAACACCAGAGGCGAAGGCGGCCCCCUGGGCCGUUCCUGACGCUGAGACGCGAAGGCGCGGGGAGCGAACGGG